AGUGUGAAGUUUUAAGGUGGUUGCUUAUACUGUACACAAAUGAAUUCAUUUAUAUUCCCUAAAUUCCACAGACCACAGUGUGGUCUGUGCUAAAUUCAAUAAAACUCAUAAUAAAAGAAGAAUAUAAAUAAAGGAAACAAGUGAUUUAUUGUAAGCAAGAUGGAGCACCUCCACACUAUAUGGUUCCUAAGACAGUUUUUAGAUGACCGGUUUCCUAGACGGUGGAUUGAAAGGAGGAGUCCAAUUGAAUGGCCUGCCACGUCACCGGAUUUAUCACCUUUAGACUUUUUUUUUGGGGACACUUAAAAAAUAAAUGUUUUGCUAUGAAGCCCGAGUCCAUAGAAGAUCUUCGCCAACACCAGAGUGCAGAAACAUAACACCUGAUAUGCUACAAAAUGUUAGAAAUAGAUUUCAACAAAAUCUAUAUUAUUGUGUGGAAUCAAAUGGGUCACAUUUUUUCAACAUUAGUUAAUGUAAUGUUUUAAUAAAUCAAUUUAAUGGC